rnacentral:rRNA from 1 species
UACGGAGGGUGCAAACGUUGCUCGGAAUUAUUGGGCGUAAAGCGCGCGUAGGCGGUUCGCUAUGUCGGAUGUGAAAGCCCUCGGCUUAACCGAGGAAGGGCAUCCGAAACUGGCGGGCUUGAGUACGGAAGAGGGUCUCGGAAUUCCCGGUGUAGAGGUGAAAUUCGUAGAUAUCAGGAGGAACACCAGUGGCGAAGGCGGAGACCUGGGCCGAUACUGACGCUGAGGUGCGAAAGCGUGGGGAGCAAACAGG